UUAUGGGGUAAACACCUCUCUUUACA
rnacentral:tRNA from 1 species